rnacentral:rRNA from 1 species
UACGGGGGGGGCGAGCGUUGUUCGGAAUCACUGGGCGUAAAGGGCGCGUAGGCGGCCCGCACAAGUCUGCGGUGAAAACCUCCGGCUUAACCGGGGGCCGGCCGUGGAAACUGUCGGGCUGGAGGCUGGGAGAGGGCAGCGGAAUUCCCGGUGUAGCGGUGAAAUGCGUAGAGAUCGGGAGGAACACCGGCGGCGAAGGCGGCUGCCUGGACCAGUCCUGACGCUGAGGCGCGAAAGCUAGGGGAGCAAACAGGAUUAGAUACCCUGGUAGUCCUAGCCCUAAACGAUGGAUACUGGCUGUGGGGGGUAGCCAACCCCCCCGUGGCGAAGCUAACGCAUUAAGUAUCCCGCCUGGGGAGUACGGUCGCAAGUCUGAA